rnacentral:rRNA from 1 species
AGUACGGCCGCAAGGUUGAAACUCAAAGAAAUUGACGGGGGACCCGCACAAGCGGUGGAUGAUGUGGUUUAAUUCGAUGCAACGCGAAAAACCUUACCCACCUUUGACAUGUACGGAAUCCUAAAGAGAUUUGGGAGUGCUCGAAAGAGAGCCGUAACACAGGUGCUGCAUGGCUGUCGUCAGCUCGUGUCGUGAGAUGUUGGGUUAAGUCCCGCAACGAGCGCAACCCUUGUCAUUAGUUGCUACGAAAGGGCACUCUAAUGAGACUGCCGGUGACAAACCGGAGGAAGGUGGGGAUGACGUCAAGUCCUCAUGGCCCUUAUAGGUGGGGCUACACACGUCAUACAAUGGCUGGUACAGAGGGUUGCCAACCCGCGAGGGGGAGCUAAUCCCAUAAAACCAGUCGUAGUCCGGAUCGCAGUCUGCAACUCGACUGCGUGAAGUCGGAAUCGCUAGUAAUCGCGGAUCAGAAUGUCGCGGUGAAUACGUUCCCGGGUCUCGUACACACCGCCCGUCACACCAUGGGAGCGGGUUCUGCCAGAAGUAGUUAGCCUAACCGCAAGGGGGGCGAUUACCACGGCAGGGUUCGUGACUGGGGUG